rnacentral:rRNA from 1 species
GACGAACGCUGGCGGCGUGCUUAACACAUGCAAGUCGAACGGAAAGGCCCUGCUUUUGUGGGGUGCUCGAGUGGCGAACGGGUGAGUAACACGUGAGUAACCUGCCCUUGACUUUGGGAUAACUUCAGGAAACCGGGGCUAAUACCGGAUAGGAGCUCCUGCUGCAUGGUGGGGGUUGGAAAGUUUCGGCGGUUGGGGAUGGACUCGCGGCUUAUCAGCUUGUUGGUGGGGUAGUGGCUUACCAAGGCUUUGACGGGUAGCCGGCCUGGGAGGGUGACCGGCCACCAUGGGACUGAGAUACGGCCCAGACUCCUACGGGAGGCAGCAGUGGGAAAUAUUGCACAAUGGGCGGAAGCCUGAUGCAGCAACGCCGCGUGCGGGAUGACGGCCUUCGGGUUGUAAACCGCUUUCGCCUGUGACGAAGCGUGAGUGACGGUAAUGGGUAAAGAAGCACCGGCUAACUACGUG